rnacentral:rRNA from 1 species
GAGUUUGAUCCUGGCUCAGAACGAACGCUGGCGGCGUGCCUAACACAUGCAAGUCGAACGAGAAAGCGGGCUUCGGUCCGUGAGUAAAGUGGCAGACGGGUGAGUAACACGUGGGUAACCUGCCCGGAGGUGGGGGAUAACCCUUCGAAAGGAGGGCUAAUACCGCAUGAUAUCUCGGACUCCUCGGGGACUGAGAUCAAAGCUAGCCUCUGUUUCAUGCUAGUGCCACCGGAGGGGCCCGCGCCCCAUUAGCUUGUUGGUGAGGUAAAGGCUCACCAAGGCUACGAUGGGUAGCCGGCCUGAGAGGGCGAUCGGCCACACUGGAACUGAGACACGGUCCAGACUCCUACGGGAGGCAGCAGUGAGGAAUUUUGCGCAAUGGGCGAAAGCCUGACGCAGCGACGCCGCGUGGAGGACGAAGGUCUUCGGAUCGUAAACUCCUGUCAAGUGGGACGAAUCCUGGGGGGAUGAAUAAGCCCUUCAGCUGACGGUACCAUUGAAGGAAGCCCCGGCUAACUCCGUGCCAGCAGCCGCGGUAAUACGGGGGGGGCUAGCGUUGUUCGGAAUUAUUGGGCGUAAAGGGCGCGUAGGCGGCCGAGCCAGUCCAAGGUGAAAUCCCCCGGCUCAACCGGGGAACUGCCUCGGAUACUGCUUGGCUUGAGUCCCGGAGAGGGUAGCGGAAUUCCCAGUGUAGCGGUGAAAUGCGUAGAUACUGGGAGGAACACCAGUGGCGAAGGCGGCUACCUGGACGGGUACUGACGCUGAGGCGCGAAAGCGUG